rnacentral:rRNA from 1 species
GCUGUGAAGAUGCAGUGUACCCGCGGCAAGACGGAAAGACCCCGUGAACCUUUACUAUAGCUUGACACUGAACAUUGAGCCUUGAUGUGUAGGAUAGGUGGGAGGCUUUGAAGUGUGGACGCCAGUCUGCAUGGAGCCGGCCUUGAAAUACCACCCUUUAAUGUUUGAUGUUCUAACGUGGACCCGUGAUCCGGGUUGCGGACAGUGUCUGGUGGGUAGUUUGACUGGGGCGGUCUCCUCCUAAAGAGUAACGGAGGAGCACGAAGGUUGGCUAAUCCUGGUCGGACAUCAGGAGGUUAGUGCAAUGGCAUAAGCCAGCUUGACUGCGAGCGUGACGGCGCGAGCAGGUGCGAAAGCAGGUCAUAGUGAUCCGGUGGUUCUGAAUGGAAGGGCCAUCGCUCAACGGAUAAAAGGUACUCCGGGGAUAACAGGCUGAUACCGCCCAAGAGUUCAUAUCGACGGCGGUGUUUGGCACCUCGAUGUCGGCUCAUCACAUCCUGGGGCUGAAGUAGGUCCCAAGGGUAUGGCUGUUCGCCAUUUAAAGUGGUACGCGAGCUGGGUUUAGAACGUCGUGAGACAGUUCGGUCCCUAUCUGCCGUGGGCGCUGGAGAACUGAGGGGGGCUGCUCCUAGUACGAGAGGACCGGAGUGGACGCAUCACUGGUGUUCGGGUUGUCAUGCCAAUGGCACUGCCCGGUAGCUAAAUGCGGAAGAGAUAAGUGCUGAAAGCAUCUAAGCACGAAACUUGCCCCGAGAUGAGUUCUCCCUGAGACUUUAAGUCUCCUGAAGGAACGUUGAAGACGACGACGUUGAUAGGCCGGGUGUGUAAGCGCAGCGAUGCGUUGAGCUAACCGGUACUAAUGAACCGUGAGGCUUAACCUUACAACGCCGAAG